AACGCACAUUGCGCCCUCUGGUAUUCCGGGGGGCAUGCCUGUCCGAGCGUCAUUGCGAACCCUCAAGCACGGCUUGUGUGUUGGGCCGCCGUCCCCUCGUUUGGAGGGGACGGGCCUGAAAGGCAGCGGCGGCGUCGCGUCCGGUCCUCGAGCGUAUGGGGCUCUGUCACGCGCUCAAGGAGGGGUCCGGCCGGGGCCAUAGCCUCUGAAGGUCAAUUCUUCCAAGGUUGACCUCGGAUCAGGUAGGAGUACCCGCUGAACUUAA
rnacentral:misc_RNA from 2 species